UACGGAGGGUGCAAGCGUUAAUCGGAAUUACUGGGCGUAAAGCGUGCGCAGGCGGUUUGUUAAGUCCGUUGUGAAAGCCCCGAGCUCAACUUGGGAAUUGCAGUGGAUACUGGCAGGCUGGAGUACGGUAGAGGAAGGUGGAAUUCCCGGUGUAGCAGUGAAAUGCGUAGAUAUCGGGAGGAACACCAGUGGCGAAGGCGGCCUUCUGGACCAGUACUGACGCUCAUGCACGAAAGCGCGGGGAGCAAACAGG
rnacentral:rRNA from 1 species